AAGUCCUCGCCAUAUGCUCCACUGUCACCGCACGGGUCGACGCCCACUUCUCCCUAGAAAUUUUCGUCCCCGCGGCUUGAUCGGACGAGCAGAAGACGACGACGAAAAGCCCAAGACUCCAUCGAGAAACCCUGAUCUAAUCGCGAGGCCUACUCUCCAUCGCCGCUAUGGAGGCGCAGCGCGUCUCCAAGAAGGCCGCCUUGGGGGGGGCGGCGGCGUCGUCCGCCUUCGACGACGUCUUCGGCGGGCCGCCCAAGUUCCUGGCUCCCUUCUCCGCCCGCAUGCACGACUACGCCGAGAUCUUCGGCGCCGCUGCGAGCGCCUGCAGCAUCCCCUUCCUCGACCUCCCGCCGGCGAUGGACGGCUUCGAUGGUGAACCCGCUGCGCCCCGGAGGAGCUCCGGGUUCGACUACUUCGAGGUCUUCGGGGGUCUGGACUUUGGGGAGCUUGCUGUCUCCUACGAGGAGUUGUUCGCCGUGCCGAGGAGGGUGGAGGUUGGCUCUUCGGGUGGCAGGGCCCUGGAUGAUCCUGCCAUUAACGAUCAGGACACCGAAGAAUACGAAUAUCCUCUGGAAGACAUGCAUGAAGAUCAUAAGGCAUGUAGAGAAGAGGAUUAUGUUCCCCUUUCUUCAAAUUCCAACCAUUCAGAUCAUGGCUUAAAGCAAUCUAACCUGUCAUAUGAUAGGACAAGUCCAAUCAGCAAAGAGGGUGCUUUUAGUGGGAAAACACAGAUAACUGAUUUGCCUGAAUUUCACUCCACUCUUGACACAAUUGUGCCCUUGCAGACCCAAACAAGUGAUGCUGCUUGUUGCAUGGUUUAUGGUGAUAAAAAUGAUGGGAAACUACAGAGCAAGUUUAUGUCAAACUCAUCAACUCAUGGGUUAGAGAUAUCAAGAGAUGAAUUUACAGGUGACCAGAAGAAAUCAACAAUUGAAUCUCCUAUAUUAGAUAUUGAUCAUGCAAAUUUGAAAUACUGUUCACAAUCUGCUAGCAGUGACUCGGUAGCCAGUGACGAUGCAUCAUCUUCCAAUACUAUCUAUGUAAGUGUGUCAAACAUCAGUCUCCGAACACAACCUUUGCGAGUACCACCACCAUCAAGACCACCUCCUAAGACUGUCAGCAAGAAGGAAAAUCCAUUCUUGAAGGCAUGUGCAACUUCAAGAAUCAGUUUAGAUGGAAGAAGUUUGUGUAAACCUAAUGAAAAUUCUGAAGAACACUAUAUUAGUGUUAGUUCCGCAAGCCAUGCAUGUCAGGAUGCUGAUAAGAACAGCCCUUGUUUCUUUGAUGUCAAUGUUGAUGCAAGUUCAGCUGCUGCUGCAAUGAAGCAAGCAAUGGAACUAGCUCAAGCAAGAUUGAGAACUGCUAAAGAGUCAAUGGAGAAAAAGCGCAUUAACCUUCAAAGUCACAAGAAGCUGGGUCAGCAGGAAAGCAAUAAGGAAAGAAAGGUUGAUCAAACUUUCAUCGAAGGAAACUUCAGUGAGAUGUUGACACAGAAAUCCAUAGUAAAAGAGGAUAAACAUACUGAUGUGAUCGCAUCAAAAGAAAGAAAUAGAAUUACCAAUGGUGUAAAGGCAAGUGAAGAUGUUGCAGAGGCACAGAGAUAUGUAGUGUUCGAUCAACAGAUAAUGCAAGGAAACAAUUUAAGAUCAGAAAAGGAUUGUGGAAAGUGGAGGAUGAAUCAAGAACACCAUGAGCUGCUAAGCAAUGAAAAGAAUUACAAAAUGGUUGAAGGUGUCUCUGACCAAGAAGGCAACAGGAAAAAAACAAAAGCAACAGCAAAUAUUAUUGAAGAUAUUUAUGCUGCGAAUAAAGAGGCUCUUCUGCCAUCUGAGCUUGAAAGUACCGGGAUCUUGAAGGAAGAAAGUGAUGGUAGCAAAAAUGAUACAAAUCUGCAAGAUGACAAUGUAGCUUAUAAGAAGCAAGUAAUUGAAGAGAUAGAAAAUGCAACUCCAAAGUUUUGUCUGCAUGAAAAUGUUGAUGAUCUUCAAAAAGCUCAUGUUUCUAGCAGUGGAGAAAACGAGAAGCAUGGAAAGUCUCAUGAGGUCUGUGAUGGAGGGAUGAGAAUACCAUAUGCGAUUGAGAAUACUAUAUCUGAAAGAAGUGAAAAUAAUCGGGAACUGUCAGAUGGCAAUGAGUUUCAGGGGAUUCAUGACAGCAAAGAGGGAAACUGGAAAUCAAAAGCUGGUAAAGAUGCUUUUGAAUGUGAAGAAAACUUUUUUAAUCUUGAGCUAAUUCGCAGAAGCUCUGAAGAUAAAUUAAAUUCAGAAACUUGUAAAGAUGUGUUGGAAUCUGCAGACAAUGCAGACGAUCGCACUGUGGCUGAUGCAAGUUGUGAGCCUUGUGAGAGUAAAAAAAAACUGAAUGUGUCCAUGAUAUCUUCUGUUCCAAAUGGAGGGGAGAUUAAGAUGCCAAUUGGAUCAUGCGUCUUUGAAGCAGGCAAAGGAGUGAGUGCCACUAGUGACUGCAGUGAGUUUAUGGAAAAAACCGGAGAAGAGCAAGUUGAAUAUGAUCAUGCAGAAAAUCUAGAUCGGAUGGAGGAAAGUGGGUUGGGAAAUUUGCAGGAAGUCAGGGAGGAACCAUAUUUGAAGCAAGAGUUGUGCAUGUCAGGGAAAAAUGAAUCAGAACUUAAAGUCAGUCAAUCUGUAGAUGAACUGGGAGAGAAUUUGAAGAAACUAAAUGCGACAGGAGUAAUCAUGUCUGGAGAACAGGAGAAGCCGAUGAAAGCUAUAGAAGCUGCCUGCUUGAAGGAUUGCACUGGAAUCAAAGUUAAGGACUCUCAAGUUGAAGAGCAGCAAAGUGACAAGAUACAAGAGGCAACUCGAGCGUCUUGUAUGCAGGCAAACUCUGGGAAUCAGGACACAUGUCAAGCAAACCAUGAGAUGAGAGAAAAUGAGGAGAUCAGAAAAAUUCAUGUGAAACCUGAUUUUUCAUAUAACAGUAAUAUCUUAAGUUCCAUUCCAGAUGUCUCAGGCAAGCCUCUGUUUGUAGAUUUGGGUGUCCAGCUGGAAACUCUGUCUGAAAGGAGAUGUGACAUAUUAGAAUCAACACAGAAUGCUAGAGAAAAUUAUAAUGUAGAGUCUGAGAGAAUUGAUUUUGAUAUGAAAAAGACAGAAGAGAAAGAAAAUGAAAGAAUGGAAAGAGAAAGAAAAUGGGCAGAAGUUGAGGCAAGCAAACUAGAAGAAGAGAAAGAGAGGGAGAGAGAAAGAGAAAAGGACAGAGUUGCUGUGGAAAGAGCAACACGGGAAGCACAUAAAAGGGCAUUUGCUGAAGCAAGAGAAAGGGCAGAGAGAAUUGCUGUAGAGAAGGUUACUGCUGAAGCUCGGCAAAGAGCUCUCAAAGAGGCCCGUGAGAAGGCAGAGAAGGCUUCUGUUCUAUCUAUGGAAAAAUCACUUGCUGAGAAGGCUUCAAGAGAAGCUAAAUUAAGGGCAGAGCGAGCUGCUGUUCAGCGAGCAACUGCUGAAGCUCGGGAACGUGCUGCAGAAAGAGCACUUGCUGAAAAGGCUACUGCAGAUGCUAGGGAACGUGCAGAGAGAUCAAAUGGUAUUUACAAGGACAGAAUGAGUAGACAAAAUAUCAAAGAAGAUCAUAUCAGUGCCAGGAAUAAGGAUGAUUAUAUUGGUGCACAUCUUCAGAGUACUAGUCCUUCAAGCAACUACAGAAAAUAUUCAGCUUUGAUUAACCAAAUAGGCGAUGGUGAAUCAGCUCUAAGGUGUAAAGCUAGGCUGGAGAGACAUCAAAGGACAGCUGAACGUGUGGCAAAAGCUCUUGCAGAAAAGAACAUGCGUGACAUUUUUGCUCAAAGAGAACAAGCAGAGAGAAAUAGAUUAGCAGAGUAUCUGGAUGCUGAUGUCAAGAGAUGGUCAAAUGGAAAACAAGGAAAUCUGCGUGCACUGCUGUCAACACUGCAAUAUAUCCUUGGGCCUGAGAGUGGUUGGCAGCCAAUUUCCUUGACAGAUGUCAUUACAGCUGCUGCUGUGAAGAAAGCUUACAGGAAGGCUACACUCUGUGUUCAUCCCGAUAAAUUGCAGCAAAGGGGUGCUAGCAUUCAACAAAAGUACAUUUGCGAAAAGGUUUUUGAUCUUCUUAAGGAAGCUUGGAACAAAUUUAACUCGGAGGAGCGAUGACAUGCAGAAGCCUUCUGUCAAGCUUUCAUAAAUUAUAUCGAAUAGAUGCAUGUUAGAUCAAGGAGUAGCAAGUUCAGCUCUGUAAUUAUUCAAUUGAGCAUUCUUUUGCACAUAUAUAUACAGAGCCUGCCUGCAUCAACUGGGAAAGAACGAAUUGGAGUGGUGGAUGGAAUGAGGCUAAUCUGCCUUCCAAGCUCUAACGUACACCGAUGGGCCGUCAAAAAGCUGUAGUAGGUGCGUUGUUACACAGUUUAUUUGCAUCGUAGAUUAAUCAUGAUAGAUGUCAUCCAAAGUUAGUCAAUAAUGCAGAACUCUAAGCCGUCCUCAUCCACAGUUUGGGGACUGAGCCAUAUGCUGACGCCUCCUAAGAAGGCGAUGGCAGCGUGCUCACAGGGUGUUUGAUGUUAUGCGUGGUUGCCAUCAACAUCCCUACCCAAGUUGUCUUACAAUUUGGCUGGUGUGAACUUUGUGUUCGCAUCAACAACAUGUUGGAAUGUUCAUUUGGAUCAAAAACGUAGGGCAACCGGAUUUGUUCAUAUUCCACAAAAGCGUCGACCAUUCUUCGUAUGUACGAGCGCAUGGUCCCUCCCUUGUGUCGCCAUCAACCACGCCUGUUGUCCAUGCCGAAAGAAGCCAUUGGUUGCAGGAUUUGUGGCCUCUGCCUUCCAAUGCACCGCAUCUGAGUGCAUUGAAAGCACGGGAUGAGCUACAUCGUUCAUUCCUGGAUAAUUGUGAUGCCAAUUUCAUGUAUGUCAUCGUCAGGAUAGCCCAUGUUGGGCUUUCAUGAGAUUUUGAUCCUUUUAAUUCUUUAAUAUGACUUACUUAAUAUAGCAAAAAUUAAGAGGAAAAAGAUGA